UUGAUUAAGUGAGAGCUGUUACGCACAGCCCCCUCUCCCGGCUCCACUUUCUCACUCCUGGCCCCCCCUUUCACCCCUACCCCCAACUCCCACCCAGCCAUUCGCCUGCAGCCCUGGAAAAGGACAGUUUCUUGUCUCCUGCAGGGCACCUAGUACCAGUUGCCUGGCACCCGGCUUUCGGAGAGGUCUGAAGACUGCCAAAUCCAUGCUAAGAACCCUCACUAUAAAGCACCAGUGAUUUUGAAGGUUCUCGAUAUCUUUCUCCACCAAAUGAGUUCCUGUGACAUCCAAGGACUUGGCUGGGAGAUACUCCUUUGGUCUGGAUAGGAUUUCCUCGUUUCCAAAUCAUCGGCGGGCGAGUGAUUGUCUUCCUUAUCUGGCUCUUGAAGGCAACAAACCGAAUUUCAAGAGAGGCAAAGAAACCGUGACCCGGAUACUGCCGGAGCUGCCGCGGUCGGGGCGCCCCAGCCCUAAUUAAAAGCGUCGUGGCCGCCUCUGGUUCCCGGCUGUGCGCCCAGGAGCGCGCCCUGAGGCUUUGGGCCGGGCACCCCCCAC
rnacentral:lncRNA from 1 species